UGGUGGAGUGAUUUGUCUGGUUAAUUCCGUUAACGAACGAGACCUCAACCUACUAAAUAGUUAUGCGUAUCAUCAAGGGCAUGUUGUGAUCUUCGGAUUGUGGCGUGUCCGAUACGUAGACAACUUCUUAGAGGGACAGUCGAUAUCAUUAAGACGAAGGAAGUGUGAGGCAAUAACA
rnacentral:rRNA from 1 species